UUACCAGAGGGCCAGCUAAGCCAAUCAGGGCAAACGGGCAGUUUCCUAGGCAACAAUAGCCCGUACCUGUGCACGUCCCUGCUGUUAACAGUAAAAAGCUUUA